UAUUAGUCCAAUAAGAAAAGAACUCAUAUAUGUAAUGGGGUCAGAUUUAUUUCUCACCUCUCUAACCCAAACAAAUAAAUUAUUAGUCCAAUAAGAAAAGAACUCAUAUAUGUAAAUACCCAAAUUCAUUAUCUCUCAUCAUUCAACCUAACCUUAAUUUGAUGUGAGAGAAGCUCCUCCCCCUCACUACCUGAUGCCGCCGUCGCUACCCUUCCGGCGCCGCCGUCCGCCGCCGAGGCUGCGGCGUCCCUCUCUCUCUCCCUUUCCCCCUCCUCUAUCUCUCCCUCUCUUCGGCUCCGCCGCCACCGUCCCUCUCUCUCUCGGAUCCGCCGCCGCCACUGUGCAUGCACAGGCGGCGGCUUCGGCCUCCUCCGUUCCUCGUGCUGCCGGAGCAGCUUCUCGGCGCCACUCCAGCCCUGGCCGCUGCCUCCUCACCAACUCCCGAGAGGUAAAUUAGAUGGUGAAACUAAUGACGGAUCGAAGAUAUGGGGUUUCCACCGUGUCACGGGGUGCCUAAGUUCAGUGGCCGGAAUCCAGCAGAUUCAUAUUCAAGAGAUAAGAUUCUUAAUUUAUGCUUAGCUUGGUUGUAGGACUUGGAUUAUACAUGUUAUAUGAAUUUGAACAAUUAUCUUGCAUAUUGAGAUUUGAUGGUGAAACAUGGUGUUAAACUCGCUGUGCAUUGUUGAUUUCAGAUUUGGGCAGAUUCUACUUUCUCUUUAGAUAUGCAAAUGCUUGUACAUAAGAAGGAAAGAAAGGCUUGGGAUUUACCUUUUGAUGUGAAAAAGUAUCGUUGGAUCGUUGGGCUCGACUCUAUUAUUGUGUGCAAAUCUCCAUCCUUGUACUCCUCUAUUCUAUGUUGUGUUAGUAUGUGGGUGUGAAGAGAAUUUUAGAAUGUUGGAUAGUGAUGUGUGCUUGAAGUGCAAAGCCUUGGGGUUUAUAUAAUUGAUGUUCCUUUGCAAGUUGCUAUGCAAGUGGUGGGGGGAGCUUAAACUUGGGGAAGGUUUUAAGUUUUAACAUGGGGGAGGUUUUACCUUGGGGAGUUUUACUGCCAAACAAAAAAAAAUGUCCUAAUCUUAUAUUAGGAUUAUAGCAUUUAAUGCUAAGUUGAUAAUAACCGUUAGAUAUCACACUACUUGCAUCUCCAUUGCCUUCAUGAAAUCUCUAUGGAUUUGAUCAGAGAUUUCCAAAUCUAAUAGUAUGAUUUUUAAAAGAUUUCUCUUAAUAUGAAUAAUAAAUGCUAGUAUCUUACUCCUUCUAACUCUCUCUCAUCAUGUAGGAGCACUAAUUUGAAGAACCUUGGCUAUUCCUUGGAGUAGGAUGCAACCAUUGAACGGGCUAUCUGAGGCUUGCAUCUCUCUCCUCAAAUUGUAAAAGAUUAGAAUUUGAUUCUUUUGUAAUAGUAUUAGAUUGUAUCGGGCAUUGAGAACUUUUUAUUUUGGAUUUAUUCUUGUAUUUUCACUUGAAAUAAUCGGGGUAGAACAACAACUAUUAUUGUA